rnacentral:tRNA from 1 species
GGAGGGUUGGCAGAGUGGACAAUUGCACUGGUUUCGAAAACCAGACCCGCUUGCGGGUGCACAGGUUCGAAUCCUGUACCCUCCGCCU